UACGUAGGGUGCAAGCGUUGUCCGGAUUUAUUGGGCGUAAAGAGCUCGUAGGCGGUCUGUCGCGUCGGAUGUGAAAACCCAGGGCUCAACCCUGGGCCUGCAUUCGAUACGGGCAGACUAGAGUGUGGCAGGGGAGACUGGAAUUCCUGGUGUAGCGGUGAAAUGCGCAGAUAUCAGGAGGAACACCGGUGGCGAAGGCGGGUCUCUGGGCCAAUACUGACACUGAGGGACGAAAGCUAGGGGAGCGAAUGGG
rnacentral:rRNA from 1 species